AUUGAACGCUGGCGGCAGGCUUAACACAUGCAAGUCGAGCGGAGAGAGGUAGCUUGCUACUGAUCUUAGCGGCGGACGGGUGAGUAAUGCUUAGGAAUCUGCCUAUUAGUGGGGGACAACAUUUCGAAAGGAAUGCUAAUACCGCAUACGUCCUACGGGAGAAAGCAGGGGAUCUUCGGACCUUGCGCUAAUAGAUGAGCCUAAGUCGGAUUAGCUAGUUGGUGGGGUAAAGGCCUACCAAGGCGACGAUCUGUAGCGGGUCUGAGAGGAUGAUCCGCCACACUGGGACUGAGACACGGACCAGACGCCUACGGGAGGCAGCAGUGGGGAAUAUUGGACAAUGGGCGCAAGCCUGAUCCAGCCAUGCCGCGUGUGUGAAGAAGGCCUUAUGGUUGUAAAGCACUUUAAGCGAGGAGGAGGCUACUUUAGUUAAUACCUAGAGAUAGUGGACGUUACUCGCAGAAUAAGCACCGGCUAACUCUGUGCCAGCAGCCGCCGUAAAAC
rnacentral:rRNA from 1 species